GGAGUCAGGCAGGCCUGGGUUCAAAUUCUGGCUCUCCCACAUACUGGCUUGAUGUUGGGCAACGGGGCCUCUCUGAGCCUCAGUCUCCCCAUCUGUGAAUGGAAAUAAUGAUAAUUCCUACCUCGUUAUAGGCUUGUUGGAAAGGCUAAAAUUAGGGAACAUGCAUGAAAUAGCUCAGCACAUAGUAAAUUCUCAAUAAAUUUUAAGUGUUGUUGUUGGUAUUAUUAUUAUUACUAUUAUUAUAGAUCUUGCACACAACAGUAAAUAUUCUACUUCCAGACCUUUGCAAAUGCUGUUUUCCCCACUCAGAAUGUCCUGGUCCUGUUGGUUUACUCAGUGUCCACGUCAGGGAUCUUAUCUUGGAAGCCCCUCCAGGCUCACCCCGGCACCCAGCCGACUUGAUUCAUCGGUCUGUGUACCGCCCUAUGCCUGGUGUACCCUCUUCACGGCACUGGCUCACCAAUGGCUGUCUCUCCUCUCCUAGACUGGCCACCAGGGGUGCUGGGUCUGACUUUUCUCUGUGUCUCCAGGGCCCAGCCAGAGGCCCCAGAAACCCCCAUACCAUGCUUUCUGGCUCCUUACUUGAACUCUGGCUUUCUCUACCCUCAGAUGCUGAACCCUCUGGGCUCAGCAUUGGGAGGCCUGGGCAGGGCCCGACAGUGAGGUGUGGGAUGUCAGCUGAAGAGGGCAGGAUCCAGGAUCCACACUGGCCUGGGCUGGGCUACGUGUGAGGAAGGGGGCCGGAAGGCCCAAGAAGAGCUGACGUAGCUAUGAUGGAGGAGACGGAGGUUGAGCCCACAUGAGCGAGAGAGGUGGUGGCCAUCUUGCUUGUGGCCCCCUUGAAUGCAAAUACAGAAUUAAUGUCCAUUCACGCCAUCUUCACUGUUCCAGCUCAUUGGAAGAUUAAAUAAAAACCCGCGCCACCCUCCCCCCACCCCCGCCCCCCACAUGGAGGGAGACCAGCCCCGUUCUUUCCGGCUGGGCUGGCUGCCUGAAGCCAGCACAGGAAAUAAAUCUCUCAGAGAAAACCACUUUGCUCACACGAUUUCAAUCCAACAGGGCAUAGUGGCCCCAGUCACUUCUUGUUUUAUUUAGCUGAUAAUCUUUUAUUGUAUCAGGAGACCCUCCCAGAAGCACCAUGUCUCUACAGAUCCGAGGCCUCCCCAGACCGCUGGGCCAGGCCUCCUGAGUGGACCACAUGCUCCCCCCCAUCGCCCGAGUGUCUUCCCCUUUCUGCACGCCACAGUGCCAAGGACCCCGGAGGGUGGAUUCUCGGGUCCCAGGGCACCCGGGAAGGGAUGGGCAGUGGCUGCCUCCGGCUCCAGUGCACAGACCCAGGCCUCUAUGGACCUCUGGGCCUCCGAUGGCAGCAUUUUGUGUUCUGGGUACCAACCCAAGGAGGCUCAUCCGCCAGUGAUGGCGGCAAAGCCCAACCGAGGCAUCACUCACUCACUCAGCAAAUAUUUAUUGUGGGCCUUCUCUGUGCCAGACUCCGGGAAUAAGAAGUGACGAGACAGGUUCCUGCCGUCUGUAGUUAUGGCCUUUCCUGGAGUAAAGCCUUUGUUUUACUGUA